UUAAGCAGGAAGGAUUCUAACAUUAGAAACCACAAUGUGGGGGAAAACAACAAUUCAGAAUAAAUUCCAGACGGAUUGGUGAUAAUAUUCUUCAUCUUGUUCUUCUUCCGUUUCUUCUUCUUAUCCUUCUCCUUCUUCUUUUUCUU
rnacentral:ribozyme from 12 species